rnacentral:rRNA from 1 species
GAUGAACGCUCGCCCCUUUCCUCCUCCAUUCACUUCUAUCUCACUUACGAGAAGCUUUCUUCUCUGCUGUUAGCGGCGGACGGGUGAGUAACACGUGGAUAACCUACCUAUAAGACUGGGAUAACUUCUUUAAACCGGAGCUAAUACCUUAUAAUAUUUUGAACCGCAUGAUUCAAAAGUGAAAGACGGUCUUGCUGUCACUUAUAGAUGGAUCCGCGCUGCAUUAGCUAGUUGGUAAGGUAACGGCUUACCCCGGCAACGAUGCAUAGCCGACCUGAGAGGGUGAUGCGCCACCAUGGAACUGAGCAACGGUCCAGACUCAUACGGGAGGCAGCAGUAGGGAAUCUUCCGCAAUGGGCGAAAGCCUGACGGAGCAACGCCGCGUGAGUGAUGAAGGUCUUCGGAUCGUAAAAAGAGGGGAUUAGGGAAGAACAUAUGUGUAAGUAACUGUGCACAUCUUGACGGUACCUAAUCAGAAAGCAAAGGAUAAAUACGGG